ACUAUGUUGAAUAAAGUUCUAGGUAGAGUUAUGAUAAUGACNUUUUCUAUCUAUGUGUCUUGACCAAAUCNCGUGCCANCAGUCNCGGUAAUACGUGGAAGACUAGUGUUNUUCAUCUUUAAUUGGUUUAAAGGGUACUUANACGGNUAAUCAAACCCUAAAGGGUACUAAUUGACUAGAGUUUUAUAUGANAAGGGGAGUACUAAAGAGUGUANANAUGAAAUUCUGUAANACCUGCUUUGGAACAGGCAACGGCNAAGGCAACCUUUUAUGUAAAAACUGACGUUGAAGGACNAAGGCUUANGACACCAACAGGAUUCNAUNCCCUAGCAGUCUAAGCANACAAUGAUGAAUGUCAUANAUUANAAUUAUAAUUUUGUCUAUAAAUGAAAGUGUAAGCAUUCCACCUCAANAGUAAUGNGGCAACNCANAAACUGAAAUCAUUAGACCGUUUCUGAAAUCAGUANUGAAGUAUGUUGUUUAAUUUGAUGAUCCGCACAACACCUUACCACAAGAUGAAUAUUAUUUAUUUGAACAUUUUGUUUGAAUAUAUAUUACAAGCGUUGCACGGCUGUUUUCAGUUAAUGUCGNGAGAUUUUGGUUAGUUCCAUUAAAUUAACNUAAACCCUUACUUUAUUUGUUAUUAUAAAGNGNUUCACCGCUAUANUGGA
rnacentral:rRNA from 1 species